rnacentral:rRNA from 1 species
ACCAUCCUCCAAGGCUAAAUACUCCUGACUGACCGAUAGUGAACCAGUACCGUGAGGGAAAGGCGAAAAGAACCCCGGCGAGGGGAGUGAAAAAGAACCUGAAACCGUGUACGUACAAGCAGUGGGAGCACCCUUCGGGGUGUGACUGCGUACCUUUUGUAUAAUGGGUCAGCGACUUAUAUUCUGUAGCAAGGUUAACCGAAUAGGGGAGCCGGAGGGAAACCGAGUCUUAAUUGGGCGUUAAGUUGCAGGGUAUAGACCCGAAACCCGGUGAUCUAGCCAUGGGCAGGUUGAAGGUUGGGUAACACUAACUGGAGGACCGAACCGACUAAUGUUGAAAAAUUAGCGGAUGACCUGUGGCUGGGGGUGAAAGGCCAAUCAAACCGGGAGAUAGCUGGUUCUCCCCGAAAGCUAUUUAGGUAGCGCCUCGUGAAUUCAUCUCCGGGGGUAGAGCACUGUUUCGGCUAGGGGGCCAUCCCGGCUUACCAACCCGAUGCAAACUGCGAAUACCGGAGAAUGUUAUCACGGGAGACACACGGCGGGUGCUAACGUCCGUCGUGAAGAGGGAAACAACCCAGACCGCCAGCUAAGGUCCCAAAGUCAUGGUUAAGUGGGAAACGAUGUGGGAAGGCCCAGACAGCCAGGAUGUUGGCUUAGAAGCAGCCAUCAUUUAAAGAAAGCGUAAUAGCUCACUGGUCGAGUCGGCCUGCGCGGAAGAUGUAACGGGGCUAAACCAUGCACCGAAGCUGCGGCAGCGACACUGUGUGUUGUUGGGUAGGGGAGCGUUCUGUAAGCCUGUGAAGGUGUGUCGUGAGGCAUGCUGGAGGUAUCAGAAGUGCGAAUGCUGACAUAAGUAACGAUAAAGCGGGUGAAAAGCCCGCUCGCCGGAAGACCAAGGGUUCCUGUCCAACGUUAAUCGGGGCAGGGUGAGUCGACCCCUAAGGCGAGGCCGAAAGGCGUAGUCGAUGGGAAACGGGUUAAUAUUCCCGUACUUGGUGUUACUGCGAAGGGGGGACGGAGAAGGCUAUGUUGGCCGGGCGACGGUUGUCCCGGUUUAAGCGUGUAGGUGUGUGUUCCAGGUAAAUCCGGUUCACUUUAACACUGAGGCGUGACGACGAGGCACUACGGUGCUGAAGCAACAAAUGCCCUGCUUCCAGGAAAAGCCUCUAAGCAUCAGGUAACAUCAAAUCGUACCCCAAACCGACACAGGUGGUCAGGUAGAGAAUACCAAGGCGCUUGAGAGAACUCGGGUGAAGGAACUAGGCAAAAUGGUGCCGUAACUUCGGGAGAAGGCACGCUGACACGUAGGUGAAGUGAUUUACUCAUGGAGCUGAAGUCAGUCGAAGAUACCAGCUGGCUGCAACUGUUUAUUAAAAACACAGCACUGUGCAAACACGAAAGUGGACGUAUACGGUGUGACGCCUGCCCGGUGCCGGAAGGUUAAUUGAUGGGGUCAGCGCAAGCGAAGCUCCUGAUCGAAGCCCCGGUAAACGGCGGCCGUAACUAUAACGGUCCUAAGGUAGCGAAAUUCCUUGUCGGGUAAGUUCCGACCUGCACGAAUGGCGUAAUGAUGGCCAGGCUGUCUCCACCCGAGACUCAGUGAAAUUGAACUCGCUGUGAAGAUGCAGUGUACCCGCGGCAAGACGGAAAGACCCCGUGAACCUUUACUAUAGCUUGACACUGAACAUUGAGCCUUGAUGUGUAGGAUAGGUGGG